rnacentral:rRNA from 1 species
UGAACGCUGGCGGCGUGCCUAAUACAUGCAAGUCGAGCGAACGGACGAGAAGCUUGCUUCUCUGAUGUUAGCGGCGGACGGGUGAGUAACACGUGGAUAACCUACCUAUAAGACUGGGAUAACUUCGGGAAACCGUAGCUAAUACCGGAUAAUAUUUUGAACCGCAUGGUUCAAAAGUGAAAGACGGUCUUGCUGUCACUUAUAGAUGGAUCCGCGCUGCAUUAGCUAGUUGGUAAGGUAACGGCUUACCAAGGCAACGAUGCAUAGCCGACCUGAGAGGGUGAUCGGCCACACUGGAACUGAGACACGGUCCAGACUCCUACGGGAGGCAGCAGUAGGGAAUCUUCCGCAAUGGGCGAAAGCCUGACGGAGCAACGCCGCGUGAGUGAUGAAGGUCUUCGGAUCGUAAAACUCUGUUAUUAGUGAAGAACAUAUGUGUAAGUAACUGUGCACAUCUUGACGGUACCUAAUCAGAAGGCCACGGCUAACUACGUG